rnacentral:rRNA from 1 species
AAACAACCCAGACCGCCAGCUAAGGUCCCAAAGUCAUGGUUAAGUGGGAAACGAUGUGGGAAGGCCCAGACAGCCAGGAUGUUGGCUUAGAAGCAGCCAUCAUUUAAAGAAAGCGUAAUAGCUCACUGGUCGAGUCGGCCUGCGCGGAAGAUGUAACGGGGCUAAACCAUGCACCGAAGCUGCGGCAGCGACACUGUGUGUUGUUGGGUAGGGGAGCGUUCUGUAAGCCUGUGAAGGUGUGUCGUGAGGCAUGCUGGAGGUAUCAGAAGUGCGAAUGCUGACAUAAGUAACGAUAAAGCGGGUGAAAAGCCCGCUCGCCGGAAGACCAAGGGUUCCUGUCCAACGUUAAUCGGGGCAGGGUGAGUCGACCCCUAAGGCGAGGCCGAAAGGCGUAGUCGAUGGGAAACGGGUUAAUAUUCCCGUACUUGGUGUUACUGCGAAGGGGGGACGGAGAAGGCUAUGUUGGCCGGGCGACGGUUGUCCCGGUUUAAGCGUGUAGGUGUGUGUUCCAGGUAAAUCCGGUUCACUUUAACACUGAGGCGUGACGACGAGGCACUACGGUGCUGAAGCAACAAAUGCCCUGCUUCCAGGAAAAGCCUCUAAGCAUCAGGUAACAUCAAAUCGUACCCCAAACCGACACAGGUGGUCAGGUAGAGAAUACCAAGGCGCUUGAGAGAACUCGGGUGAAGGAACUAGGCAAAAUGGUGCCGUAACUUCGGGAGAAGGCACGCUGACACGUAGGUGAAGUGAUUUACUCAUGGAGCUGAAGUCAGUCGAAGAUACCAGCUGGCUGCAACUGUUUAUUAAAAACACAGCACUGUGCAAACACGAAAGUGGACGUAUACGGUGUGACGCCUGCCCGGUGCCGGAAGGUUAAUUGAUGGGGUCAGCGCAAGCGAAGCUCCUGAUCGAAGCCCCGGUAAACGGCGGCCGUAACUAUAACGGUCCUAAGGUAGCGAAAUUCCUUGUCGGGUAAGUUCCGACCUGCACGAAUGGCGUAAUGAUGGCCAGGCUGUCUCCACCCGAGACUCAGUGAAAUUGAACUCGCUGUGAAGAUGCAGUGUACCCGCGGCAAGACGGAAAGACCCCGUGAACCUUUACUAUAGCUUGACACUGAACAUUGAGCCUUGAUGUGUAGGAUAGGUGGGAGGCUUUGAAGUGUGGACGCCAGUCUGCAUGGAGCCGACCUUGAAAUACCACCCUUUAAUGUUUGAUGUUCUAACGUGGACCCGUUACCCGGGUUGCGGACAGUGUCUGGUGGGUAGUUUGACUGGGGCGGUCUCCUCCUAAAGAGUAACGGAGGAGCACGAAGGUUGGCUAAUCCUGGUCGGACAUCAGGAGGUUAGUGCAAUGGCAUAAGCCAGCUUGACUGCGAGCGUGACGGCGCGAGCAGGUGCGAAAGCAGGUCAUAGUGAUCCGGUGGUUCUGAAUGGAAGGGCCAUCGCUCAACGGAUAAAAGGUACUCCGGGGAUAACAGGCUGAUACCGCCCAAGAGUUCAUAUCGACGGCGGUGUUUGGCACCUCGAUGUCGGCUCAUCACAUCCUGGGGCUGAAGUAGGUCCCAAGGGUAUGGCUGUUCGCCAUUUAAAGUGGUACGCGAGCUGGGUUUAGAACGUCGUGAGACAGUUCGGUCCCUAUCUGCCGUGGGCGCUGGAGAACUGAGGGGGGCUGCUCCUAGUACGAGAGGACCGGAGUGGACGCAUCACUGGUGUUCGGGUUGUCAUGCCAAUGGCACUGCCCGGUAGCUAAAUGCGGAAGAGAUAAGUGCUGAAAGCAUCUAAGCACGAAACUUGCCCCGAG